AUUGAACGCUGGCGGCAGGCUUAACACAUGCAAGUCGAGCGAGCGGCGGACGGGUGAGUCAUGUCUGGGAACCUGCCUGAUGGAGGGGGAUAACUACUGGAAACGGUAGCUAAUACCGCAUACCAUCAGAUGUGCACAGAUGGGAUUAACUAGUAGGUGGGGUAAUGGCUCACCUAGGCGACGAUACCUAGCUGGUCUGAGAGGAUGACCAGCAACAAUGGAACUGAGACACGUUCCAGACUCCUACGGGAGGCAGCAGUGGGGAAUAUUGGACAAUGGGCGCAAGCCUGAUGCAGCCAUGCCGCGUGUGUGAAGAAGGCCUUCGGGUUGUAAAGCACUUUCAGCGAGGGGGCGUUACUCGCCGAAGAAGCACCGGCGAACUCCGUGCCAGGAGCCGGGGUAAUAC
rnacentral:rRNA from 1 species